CGGAAGCGAAGCACUUACUUUGUAGAUCUUCGGAAGGAUAAGUUUUGUGACUGAGCGGCGGACGGGUGAGUAACGCGUGGGUAACCUGCCUCAUACAGGGGGAUAACAGUUAGAAAUGACUGCUAAUACCGCAUAAGACCCCAGUACCGCAUGGUACAGAGGUAAAAACUCCGGUGGUAUGAGAUGGACCCGCGUCUGAUUAGCUAGUUGGCAGGGUAAUGGCCUACCAAGGCGACGAUCAGUAGCCGACCUGAGAGGGUGACCGGCCACAUUGGGACUGAGACACGGCCCAAACUCCUACGGGAGGCAGCAGUGGGGAAUAUUGCACAAUGGGGGAAACCCUGAUGCAGCGACGCCGCGUGAGCGAUGAAGUAUUUCGGUAUGUAAAGCUCUAUCAGCAGGGAAGAAACUGACGGUACCUGACUAAGAAGCACCGGCUAAAUACGUGCCAGCAACCGCGGUAAUACGUAUGGUGCAAGCGUUAUCCGGAUUUACUGGGUGUAAAGGGAGCGUAGACGGAUAGGCAAGUCUGGAGUGAAAGCCCGGGG
rnacentral:rRNA from 2 species